rfam:Clostridium lentocellum DSM 5427, complete genome.
GGUCAAGCUACUAAGAGCGUAGAGUGGAUGCCUUGGCACCGAGAGCCGAUGAAGGACGUGAUAAGCUGCGAAAAGCUACGGGGAGUUGCAAAUAAACUUUGAUCCGUAGAUAUCCGAAUGGGGAAACCUGGCAGAGCAAACCUCUGUCACCGUAUAGCCAAUACAUAACUAUACGGAGGGAACGAAGGGAACUGAAACAUCUAAGUACCUUCAGGAGGAGAAAGAAACAUCGAUUUCCUAAGUAGCGGCGAGCGAAAGGGAAACAGGCCAAACCAGAUUACUUGUAAUCUGGGGUUGAGGACUGCGACAUGGCAAGAAUGCGGAUAGCUGAAGAGUCUGGAAAGUCUCAUCAAAGAGGGUGAUAAUCCCGUAAGCGAAAUCCAAGUGAAGCCUAGCAGUAUCCAGAGUACCACGAGACACGAGAAACCUUGUGGGAAGCUGGGGGGACCACCCCCCAAGCCUAAAUACUCCUCGGUGACCGAUAGCGCAUAGUACUGUGAAGGAAAGGUGAAAAGAACCCCGGGAGGGGAGUGAAAGAGAACCUGAAACUCUAUGUUUACAAGCAGUGGAAGCACCAUAUGAUGUGCAACCGCGUACUUUUUGUAGAACGGUCCGGCGAGUUACUAGCUGUGGCAAGGUUAAGUACCAGGAGGUACGAAGCCGAAGGGAAACCAAGUCUGAAUAGGGCGCCAAAAUAGUCAUUGUUAGUAGACCCCAAAACCGGGUGACCUACCCAUGUGCAGGAUGAAGUUACCGUAAAAGGUAAUGGAGGUCCGAACUCACAUCUGUUGAAAAAGGUGGAGAUGACGUGUGGGUAGCGGAGAAAUUCCAAUCGAACCCGGAGAUAGCUGGUUCUCCUCGAAAUAGCUUUAGGGCUAGCGUUGAUAGGAGUCUAAUGGAGGUAAAGCACUGAAUUGCCUAGGGGGCCUACAAGCUUACCGAAGCAUAUCAAACUAAGAAUGCCAUCAAGAUACCGUCAGCAGUCAGACUACGAGUGAUAAGACACGUGGUCAAAAGGAAAACAGUCCAGACCAUCAGCUAAGGUCCCCAAGUGUGUGUUAAGUGGAAAAGGAUGUGAGAUUUCGAAGACAACUAGGAUGUUGGCUUAGAAGCAGCCACUCAUUCAAAGAGUGCGUAAUAGCUCACUAGUCGAGAGAUCUUGCGCCGAAAAUGUCCGGGGCUAAAACACACCACCGAAGCUAUGGAAUUCAACUUAGUUGGAUUGGUAGAGGAGCGUUGUAACGACGCAGAAGCAGUACCGUAAGGAGCCGUGGAGUAAUUACAAGUGAGAAUGCCGGAAUGAGUAGCGAGAUACAAGUGAGAAUCUUGUAGGCCGAAUAUCCAAGGUUUCCAGAGUAAAGCUGAUCUGCUCUGGGUAAGUCGGGACCUAAGGCGAGGACGGAAGUCGUAGUCGAUGGACAACUGGUUCAUAUUCCAGUACUACCUAUUAUCAGAACUGCAGGGACGCAGGAGGGUAGGCAAACCCAGGAAUGGUAUCCUGGGCCAAGCACAAAGUCGCAUUCCCAAGGAAAACCCGGGGAACGAGGAUGAAGUGUGAUGGGGAUCGAAAUUAAAGUAGAGAAGUUGCUGAACCCACACUGCCGAGAAAAGCUGCUAUUGCGUGAUAGGUACCCGUACCGUAAACCGACACAGGUGGAUGAGGAGAGAAUCCUAAGGCCGACGGGAGAAGCGUUGUUAAGGAACUCGGCAAAAUGACUCCGUAACUUAGGGAGAAGGGGUGCCUACUUAGGUAGGCCGCAGAGAAUAGGCCCAAGCAACUGUUUAACAAAAACACAGGUCUUUGCUAAACCGAAAGGUGAUGUAUAAGGGCUGACGCCUGCCCGGUGCUGGAAGGCUAAGGGGAGAGGUUAGUCGUAAGGCGAAGCUUUGAACUUAAGCCCCAGUAAACGGCGGCCGUAACUAUAACGGUCCUAAGGUAGCGAAAUUCCUUGUCAGGUAAGUUCUGACCCGCACGAAAGGCGUAAUGAUUUGGGCACUGUCUCGACAGCGCACCCGGUGAAAUUGUAGUACCAGUGAAGAUGCUGGUUACCCGCGACAGGACGGAAAGCCCCCGGGGGAGUUUUACUGUAGCUUGAUACUGAGGUUGGGUAUUACAUGUACAGGAUAGGAGGGAGACUGAGAAAAUCUGGACGCCAGUCUAGGUGGAGUCGCCGGUGGGAUACCUCUCUUGUAAUACUUAACUUCUAACCAUGGCCCGUUACCCGGGUCUGGGACAAUGUCAGGUGGACAGUUUGACUGGGGCGGUCGCCUCCUAAAGAGUAACGGAGGCGCUCAAAGGUAACCUCAGAAUGGUCGGAAACCAUUCGAAGAGUGCAAAAGGCAUAAGGUUGCUUGACUGUGACACCGACGGGUGGAGCAGGUACGAAAGUAGGACUUAGUGAUCCGGUGGUAUGAAAGUGGGAUUGCCAUCGCUCAACGGAUAAAAGCUACCCCGGGGAUAACAGGCUUAUCUCCCCCAAGAGUUCACAUCGACGGGGAGGUUUGGCACCUCGAUGUCGGCUCAUCGCAUCCUGGAGCUGAAGCAGGUUCCAAGGGUUGGGCUGUUCGCCCAUUAAAAGCGGUACGCGAGCUGGGUUCAGAACGUCGUGAGACAGUUCGGUCCCUAUCCGUCGUGGGCGCAGGAAAUUUGAGUGGAGCUGUCCUUAGUACGAGAGGACCGGGAUGGACGGACCACUGGUGCAUCUGUUGUCUUACCAAAGGCAUAGCAGAGUAGCCAAGUCUGGAUCUGAUAAAACGCUGAAGGCAUCUAAAGCGUGAAGCAGACCACAAGAUAAGAUUUCCCAUCCGAAAGGAGUAAGACCCCUUAGAGACUAUGAGGUAGAUAGGUUGGAGCUGUAAGCAUGGUAACAUGUGUAGGUGACCAAUACUAACGGUUCGAGGGUUUGACCUA